rnacentral:rRNA from 1 species
AACGCUGGCGGCGUGCCUAACACAUGCAAGUCGAACGAGAAAGUGGAGCUAUCCAUGAGUAAAGUGGCGACCGGGUGAGUAACACGUGACUAACCUACCUUCGAGUGGGGGAUAACCUCGGGAAACCGGGGCUAAUACCGCAUAAUGCCUUCGGGUUAAAGGAGCAAUUCGCUUGAAGAGGGGGUCGCGGCUGAUUAGCUAGUUGGCGGGGUAACGGCCCACCAAGGCAAUGAUCGGUAGCCGGCCUGAUAGGGCGCACGGCCACACUGGAACUGAAACACGGUCCAGACUCCUACGGGUGGCAGCAGUGGGGAAUUUUGCGCAAUGGGGGAAACCCUGACGCAGCAACUCCGCGUGGAGGAUGAAGUCCUUUGGGACGUAAACUCCUUUCGACCGGGAUGAUAAUGACGGUACCGGUGGAAGAAGCCCCGGCUAACUUCGUGCCAGCAUCCGCGGUAAUU